ACAGCAGCAGCCGCGGUAAUACGUAGGUGGCAAGCGUUGUCCGGAAUUAUUGGGCGUAAAGCGCGCGCAGGCGGAUCAGUCAGUCUGUCUUAAAAGUUCGGGGCUUAACCCCGUGAGGGGAUGGAAACUGCUGAUCUAGAGUAUCGGAGAGGAAAGUGGAAUUCCUAGUGUAGCGGUGAAAUGCGUAGAUAUUAGGAAGAACACCAAUGGCGAAGGCGACUUUCUGGACGAAAACUGACGCUGAGGCGCGAAAGCCAGGGGAGCGAACGGGAUUAGAUACCCCGGUAGUCCCUGUCUCUUAUACA
rnacentral:rRNA from 1 species